GUGAAUCAUCGAAUUUUUGAACGCAAAUUGCACUCUCUUCGGAGAGUAUGCCUGUUUGAGGGUCAGCCUAAAAAAAAAUCGAUAUAGUCUCUGUUUCGCGGUGAUUUUCGUCGGAAUUUGGGUCACUUUAAACCUUUGGUUUUUACGCGGCUUAAAAUUUUUUUUACGUUUCCCCGAACGUUUCUAAGCUUUAUUUCUUAUACUUUUCUGGUAUCUAUCUUUUUUAGACGUGGCUGUUGCAUCG
rnacentral:misc_RNA from 1 species